UACGGAAGGGGCAAGCGUUGUUCGGAAUCAUUGGGCGUAAAGGGCGCGUAGGUGGUUCUGUAUGUCUACCGUGAAAGCGUACGGCUCAACCGUAUUUUGUCGGUAGAAACUGCAGGACUUGAGGCUGGAAGGGGCUGGUGGAAUUCCCUGUGUAGCGGUGAAAUGCGUAGAGAUGGGGGAGAACACUCGUGGCGAAGGCGGCCAGCUAGACCAGUUCUGACACUGAGGCGCGACAGCGUGGGGAGCAAACAGG
rnacentral:rRNA from 1 species